rnacentral:rRNA from 1 species
AUUGAACGCUGGCGGAAUGCUUUACACAUGCAAGUCGAGCGGCAGCGCGGGGGCAACCCUGGCGGCGAGCGGCGAACGGGUGAGUAACAUAUCGGAACGUACCCAGUCGUGGGGGAUAACUAUCCGAAAGGAUAGCUAAUACCGCAUACGUCCUGAGGGAGAAAGCGGGGGAUCGCAAGACCUCGCGCGAUUGGAGCGGCCGAUAUCGGAUUAGCUAGUUGGUGGGGUAAAGGCUCACCAAGGCGACGAUCCGUAGCGGGUCUGAGAGGACGACCCGCCACACUGGAACUGAGACACGGUCCAGACUCCUACGGGAGGCAGCAGUGGGGAAUAUUGGACAAUGGGCGCAAGCCUGAUCCAGCAAUGCCGCGUGUGUGAAGAAGGCCUGGUUGUAAGACACUUUAUUCAGAACGAAAGACGUUGGAUUAAUAACUCUGACGUGCUGACGGUACCGUAGAGGAAGUAAGACACGGCUAACUUCGUGCCAGCAG